rnacentral:lncRNA from 1 species
GUAGGUCGCAGAUGUGGCUUGGAUCCCAAGGUGCUGUGGCUAGGCCAUAGGCCAGCAGCUACAGCUUUCAUUCACUCUCUCGCUUGGAAAUGUCCAUAUGCCAUGGGUGUGGCCCUAAAAAGCAAAAAAAAAAAAAAAAAAAAAGAGUUUUGUUUCUAGAGCUAACCUGACUCUUCGUCCCGACUUUGUCACCUGCUAGCUGUGUGACUUGAGACAAAGUCUCCUUAAACCAAGUUCUGUUUCUACUCAAUUAGGCAAAGGGCACCUUUCUCCUUAAGUUCUCCCUAGGUUUCAAUCAGAUCAUGUUACCUGCCCUUUUCACAAUGCCCAGCACAAAACAGAACUCAGGUAGUGGUAGCUGCUGGUGCUUCUGCUGAUACUCAUACUACCAUUAAUACUACUUUUCCCUUCUUUACUUCCCUAAGAGUUACUGAAACAUAGCAAUUAAAAUAAUUCUAGAAAUAACCCACUGUAAUUUUAGCCUUUUACUAGCUGUGUGAUCUUGAGCAAAUUAUGUAACCUCUCUGUGCCUGUGUUUUCUCAUCUAUAAAAUGGGGUAACAGAAGUAUCUAUCUUCUGAGAUUAUUGGAAGGACUGAGUGAAAAAAUCUAGUAAAGUAGUUAGCAAGGUGGCUAAAAAAUAGGAAGUGCUCACAAAGUGUUAACUGUUAUUAUCUUCAAUUAUUAAGUUAUUUUUACUGGAAGUUAUUAUUUAUCAUCUGCCUUAUUAGUUGCACCCUGCAUUUUCUUUUUCUCCAUGAGUGCUGUCUUCCUGUUGGUCAUCACCUCCACCCUCAGUCAAUUUGCUUGUCUGGUCUCUCUCUCUCAUAGCACUGAUAUGAUACACAUUCAUGUCUAACUUACUUGCUGGAUGACUUCUAAGUUUCCAUCCCCAGGUCUAGCAUCAUCCCUGAGUUCUAGGAUUUCCUUUUCAUCUAGACAUUCUACUAGCCUCUCAAACUUAGUGGAUCUUGAGUACCUAGUAUAAUAAAACAGACACACACACACACACACACACAGACCCCAUUCCUCUUCUCUCCCAUUUGUAUUUGUCCCCAGUUUCCCCUCUCACUCUUACUGGUCCUGUUAUGGUCCCCUCCUGUCAGUUUCAAAACUUCAGCAUCAUCCUGACCAGCAUUAGGCUCAGCACAAUCAGAAGAUGUGAGUGGCCAUCCUGUGGAGCCAACUCAGUGAGUGGAAAUGCUGGGUGUAGAGGCAGUGAGCCAGGUGCAGUCUAAUAGCUGGUCAGGUUCUUGCUGGGAUGGCCUUGCCCUUUCCUAUCGAUACAGUGAGAGUUGUCUAGAGCAGAAGUUUCAAACAUUUUUCUUUUAACUUUAGCAACAGAAAAUUUUAAAAAUAAAAUUUAAAACCACAUCUCAAUAAAUAUGUAAAAGAACAAGACUGCUGUAGGUUGUGGAUGGGGCUUCUUGAGGCUUAAAGUUUAAAGAUUAGAGUCUCAGCUCUACAGCUUCAUUCUUUCCCCCUCUCUAUCCUUUAAAAUCCUUUUGUAGGUAGUCUUUUUUAAAAAACAGUAAUGUCAACUGGCCACACCACCAGGUCCCAUGCUUUACAUAUAUUAUUCCAUUUAUACCUCACCAGCGCCUUGUGAGGGAGGCACUGUUUUUAUCAUCCCCGUUUGAGAUGACAGAACUGAGCUAUAGGGGGAGGUGAGCCAUAGUAAAGAGUGAGAGCCAGGACUCCCAGCCAGAUAUUUGAAAGCAGACUGCUUCACAUUAAAGCACUGUACAUGACUGCCUCCUCAAGUUGGUCCCAUUUCUAAGGGAGUAAACUAAGGCUUAAAAGGGUGAAGAAACUUCCCAUGAUCAAGUGCCAGGAACUUGCCCAUGGGCUUCACCCUCAAUGCAUGUGGCAACACGUACAUGUCAUUAUUAGACCUUGGUCAACUCAGAAUGAAUGUUUUUCUCUAUCAUGCGUAGAAAUGGCACUUCCCAUUGUUAGUUCUAAGUUUGGUGGUGGUCGUGUUGGGGGGGACCCACAGACACUUGAAAUUCUCCUCUUGUUCAAGAGCAUUUUGCUAUACUAGCUCUAAAGUAAUUGCCCAUGAGAUGGUCUCUCAUGCCAAGAUCAUUUUGUACACAUGGUGUUUGGCACUUCCCAUUUGUCUUCAGUGCUUCUUGAGUUACCUCACCACGUUAAAAUCUGACUUUGCAAAGACACAGGUAUUAUAGAUGUCCAGACAACCAUGGUUUAAUCUUAGUGUACAAAACCCUCUGAAGGUAUCAUUUAAGCAAUUUCCCCACUCCCAACCCUUCUAAGCUCAGGGUUGGAAGAUUAUUGUGGUGUUUGGUUGCCUGAAGGCAGCUGGAUAUUUUUGCUGCUGCUGUUCUUUAUGCUUGUGGUAUUUCAUUUACAGAAUGAUUUAAGAUAAAAUCUGUCUCUCUCCAUCAGAAGCAUUUGCUUUUUUGUGUAAAAAUGCAGAAAAGAAGCAUCAUAAUAAAUACUGCUGCUGCUACCAAAGCUGAAAAGAUGAGGAAAUGACCACCCCACAAAUCUCACAUCAGCCUACUCAGUGAAAUGAGCCUGGUGUGUUGCAGAAAUGAGCUUCCUGUCAUCUGGGAUUCAGCCAUAUGGUGUGGAACGAGAAGUUUAGGCAAUUUCAUUUUCAGCUUAAUGAGAAGUUUGUCUUUCUGAGUUGUCAGACUGCAGAGCUCUUGAGAGAUUUGAUUCUGGAUGCAUAUUUCAUGGUGGAAUCUAAAAUACCUGUCUUUGAAUCUUUGCUCACACAUUUAGGAUCUGAGUGACCCUAUCUAUUUUUCUCUUUAAGCUUUGGAUUCCACAUGUGUACAACAGAGAGGAAUAAAAUAAAAAUGGAUAUAGGAAUGAAUGAAUAUAAUAAGAAACGUGUAAAUAGAUCAGUUAUUUUAGUAGCCAGUUGAGUAAGAAUAAGUAGUAGAAGAGAGUAAUAGCCCUAAAAAGAUAUUAUCUACUGGAUACAGUGGCUUAACCAGUAGGCUCAGAACAAUUGUUUCAAUUCUUCUCUGGGUAACCACAACCACCUAUUGAGUUUCCAGAACAAUGUCUACCUUGGGCAUACUCCAGGGACCUUGAAUAGCCUGGCAAAAGGACUAGUAGCCAUACCUUAUGAAGUAUGAUUUGACUGGAGUUCCCACUGGUGCAGCAGCAGGUUAAAGAUCUGGCAUUGCCGCAGCUGUGACAUAGGUCAUAGCCUCAGCUUGGGUUCAGUUUCUGGCCCAGGGAACUUCUAUAUGCUGAAGGUGCAGCCAAAAAAAAAAAAAAAAUGAGAAAGAAUGGUUCAACUAUCUGGAGACUUUUGUCCUGGAGAAUAGAUGGAGGAAGAAUCUUUCAGGCAGACAGUAGUUGCUGAUCUUUCAUGAUGCAUAUCUUUCCUGGAAUUAAGAGAGUAGGCAAGAGCUGUGUAGUUGAGUGACCAAGAGAGAUGUUUGCUCCUGGUUUCUGUCAUUUGUCAGCCAGUGCCUUGGGAAAUGUCACUUCACCUUUCGCAGCUUCCUUCUACUCUCUGACAUGGUGUAAUGAUGCAUGACUCCCAAGAGGAGUUAGGAGAACCUGAUGGUACAGAGUAUCUACUGAAUAUCAGCAUGGUGUUUGACAUCAGGUCAGCACUUCGUACAUGCUGACUAUUGUUGUUGGUCCACUUGGACUUCAGGGAACAAGUCCUAAAAUUUUACAUAGCCCUUGUGUGUUCACAGAAGAAGGUAUUCAUAAAUCGGUUUAGAACUUGGAGGAGUAUUCAUCUAUCAGUUAAGUUUGGACUGGUAGUUUUCCUGGACAGAGCUAGAGUCAGGAGAGAAAACACCUUGAUAAGAUAGAACUACCACACAGCCCAUUUCACCCAGGUGCAUGUAUAGCUGCUCUUACUAACAUGUUUGUUCUCAGGUUGGACUUAGAUGAGGGAUGAAAGACCCGAGUUGAAUUCCCAGAAUUGAAGGGGCUUCCAUCCCACUAAAAGACAGUGGUUCUCAAAGCAUGGUCCUUAAGGAGUAUCAGCUAUGGUCUGCUUCUUCGACAUGUCAGUUCUCAAGCCUCACCCUAGCCCUAUUGAAUCAGAAACUCUGAAGGAGGGCCGUAAGCUCCAGGUGAUUCUGAUGCAGGGUAGAGUUAGAAUCACUGACCUAAGGCUGUCACAGCUAAAUCAUUUUGCCACUGCUUUGCUUGUAGCUCUUGGUUGAGUUCAGGCUCAGCUUUUACCCCUUUGCUCCAGAAAAGCUGCAGUAUAAAUAUAGCUAACACACAUUGAGGGCUUUUUCUGUGCAAGGUGCCAAGCUAAUCCCUUGCCAUGUGGAAAUGCAUUUGAUCCACACAGAAACCUUAGAAAGAAAGACCUGGAGUUGUUGUCAUGGCUCAGUGAGUUAAUAGCCUGACGUUGUUUCUGUGAGGAUGCAGGUUUGAUCCCUGGCCUGGCUCAGUGGGUUAAGGAUCCACGUUUCUGUGGCUGUUGCAUAGACCUCAGCUAUAGCUCCGAUUCAACCCCAAGCCUGGGAAUUGAAAGAAAGAGGGACCUGGCUCAUCACUUUGAUUUGUAGAGGAGCAAACUGGGGCACAGAGGGAUGUGGAACUUGCCCAAAGUUCCAGGAGUUCCCUGGUGACUGAGUGGGUUAAGGAUCUUGCAUUGCUACUGCUGUGGCAUGGGGUUGAUCGCUGGCCCAGGAACUUCAUGCCAUGUGUUUGGCCAAAAUGAAUGAACACAUGAAUGAAUUAUAUUUUUUUAAGUUACACUGAGAAAAACUGGUGGAGUCAGAAUCUGAAUCCAGACAGUCUGACCCUCUGCACUCAGUGGACUCUAUCACAGUGACUUUCAACUUUCCUGAACUCCACAGCAGCUAGCAUCACACUGAGAGGGAAAGGGAACUGGGCAACAGAUCUCCAGCUAUCCCCCUCCUUUCUGAUUUCUGGAGACAUGGCCGUCCCCACAAUUCUCCCAUAUCUGUGACUGUUCCUCCCCUUCCUUUACUAACUUUCCUUUCACCUACUCAGUGAUGGGGAUCACACCUGUCACCACAUGUAGACUUCCCCAUGGGUCAGUCCUUAGUUUCCCCUUUUCCUGUAUCUAUGGAAAACCCCACACUUACAUACAGCUUCAACGUUUACCCUUUUUGGAUGAUGCCCAAAUCUGUAUUUGCCUUGAAAUGUUUUCUCAUCUCUAGUUCCAAAUUUCAAGCAGCCUGGGCUUUUCUGCAUGGGUAUCUUUCUGUCACUUUUACUUCGUCACCUGCAGCUGAAUUUACCAAUGUCCCUAUCUCCUCCAUCUCCAGCACCCACUUGCCUAAUUGUCCACAUAAGGCCAGCCUCCAUCUCUUCUUCAUGCUUUCAUUCAUAUUCCAGACCCUGUCUUUCUUCAUAUGGACAUCAGUGUCUUUUUCAACCUUGUGUUUUUCAUAUAACAAGGGUAUCUAUUUAGGUCUUAAAUGAGAAAAUUUAAGUUGAUGGCCAAGCCAGUUCAUUUAAUUAUGAAAACGGUGUAAUAUGGCAUGCAAGAUGAGGCAUGAUACGGCUUAGCUUUAGUUACAGAACAAAGGUAUGAAAUGCCAGACAGGAAUGGGUUUUUAAAAAGCAAGAAAAAAAAAAUAGGUAGUGUAAAAGCCAGAGCAUCUAAGAGGCAUCUUCAUGGAGACACCAGGGAAAACAUAAUUUUGAUUUUCAUUAAUGACCAAUUGCAUUGAACAAUGAAUUGGACAUUACAGCACUUAUAAACAAACCAUAAUUAUAAAGUGUUAUUCUAAUUGUUAAUUAGAUCUAUUUAUGCUCUAGAUUAGUUUUUUAAAUAUGUCCUCUAGAUGCCACUUGAUGCUAAUUAUCUUAGUUACGUUAUUAUCAAUUGAAAAACAUUUUUAAUUAAAUCUAAAGCCAUUUAAAUUAGCAUAAGAUUUAUAGAAAUUUAAAUGUGGUCUGAUGCUUCUUUUUUUUUCUAAGGCCACAUCAGAUGAUGCAUUUAACCUUUUGAAUUAGCUUUUGAUGAAACUCUCUACUGCAACCUAGCAGUUGAUAAUGAUGAGGAAAAGAGUGGGGCGUUCUUAGUAGUGUUUAUUGAUUAAAUGUAUGUGUGUAUCAUAUAUAUAUACAUAUAUAUAUAUAUAUUCCUAUAUGUAAUAUUUCCAAAUCACUGCUAUUGGAAUCAUGGAGAUACAGAGAUGAAUGUUACUCUUCCUGCUCUUUCAGGGAUCUGUCUGUUGAAUCAGGGAGAUGAAACACACAUGCAAAUAUCUGAGAGCCCAAGCAGAAAACAAGCUUCUUAGAAGGGUAGAAACAAAGGGGCUAUGGAAUUACAGAAUCAGAUGUACGGGGGUGGUAUCCCAGAGAGAAUUUAGAAAGCUUUCUAAAUGAAGAGGGUAUUCGAACUAGGUCUUGAGUAUGGAUUAGGAGGGAAACACAAACAGACACACACACACACACACACAGAUAAUGCAUUUUUUGGCAAAUGGAAUAGCAUAUGUUUAUCAGAUGAGACUUCCUUAAAUGCUGAGCAUCCAACUCAAAGCCAGAGAUGGGGAGGUUGAUUGCUUUCUGUGAUAGAAAAGUUUAGGGGUAGCCAGCUUCAGGUUAGAUUCAGGGGCUCAACUAAUGUGACAAAACUCAGUUUCUCUCUUUCCCUUACCAUCUCUUCACUCUGUUUUCCAAUCUUGUAUUUUGUCUUCACUUCUGCUGGUGAGCAGGAGGAGGGCUAGUCUUCCUAGAUAAAUCCAACCUCGUCCUUGUUUUUACCCUCACUGAAGUGACUUGGGCCAUGUGCUCCUCCUUGAAGGAGCUGUUGUGACCUGGAUGAUGGAAUCCACUGGAGAGCAAGGCCUGGCUCAUACGCCUACCACUAGAGCUAUUGGAAUGAAAUGCCUGAGUGUGAGAUAGAGACUAGUCAGUUCUCAAAAGGAAAACUGAGGUGGUAUCACCAGGAAAGGGACUGGGUGCUGGGCAUUAAAAAAAAAAAAAA